rnacentral:lncRNA from 1 species
GCCAUUUCAAUGGUAUCUAAGGCAAGCUUAGCAGACCCUCCCACCGAUCUCAUUUAUCUGAUCAAUUUGGUGAACUAGAUUUUGAUUAGAUCACUAAGUGAUUCUAGUUAGUCCAUACUAUUAAGGUUGAUCAGUGUGACUGAUCUUAAUGUCAGUUCAAUCAGCAUGACCUAAUCAGAUUAAGUGACUUGAUGAAGUCAAUGGGAGGAUUGUGGUCUACUGAUUGAUCUUUUCUUCUCUUCUCUCUUCUUUAAACUAAU